rnacentral:tRNA from 4 species
GUCCCCUUCGUCUAGAGGCCUAGGACAUCGCCCUUUCACGGCGACGACAGGGGUUCGACUCCCCUAGGGGACGCCA